rnacentral:rRNA from 1 species
UACAGAGGUCUCAAGCGUUGUUCGGAUUCAUUGGGCGUAAAGGGUGCGUAGGCGGCGCGGUAAGUCGGGUGUGAAAUCUCGGAGCUUAACUCCGAAACUGCAUUCGAUACUGCCGUGCUUGAGGACUGGAGAGGAGACUGGAAUUUACGGUGUAGCGGUGAAAUGCGUAGAUAUCGGGAGGAACACCAGUGGCGAAGGCGGCUCACUGGCCCGUAACUGACGCUGAGGCACGAAAGCGUGGGGAGCAAACAGG